rnacentral:rRNA from 1 species
CCUGCCCAGUGACUAAGUUCAACGGCCGCGGUAUCCUAACCGUGCAAAGGUAGCAUAAUCACUUGCCCAUUAAUUGUGGGCUAGAAUGAAAGGACUAACGAAAUAAAAACUGUCUCUAUAAGCCAUAUAAAAAUUAAUCUCUAACUGAAGACUGUUAGAUACCGUCGAAGGACAAGAAGACCCUAUAGAGCUUUAUUUUAACAAAAACCAAAAAAAAUUUUAAUAAGAUUCGGUUGGGGCGACCAGGGAAUAUACAUCAUCCCCGAUAAACAGAUAACUUAAUCUAAACUAUGACCCUUAAACAAGAUCAACAAAUCAAGCUACCUUAGGGAUAACAGGCUAAUCCCACUAAAGAGUCCUUAUCAAUAGUGGGGGUUGGCACCUCGAUGUUGGCUUAGGGAAUCUAUGUGGCGCAAAAGUCACAUAAAGAUGGUUUGUUCAACCAAUAAUACCCUACAUGAGCUGAGUUCAGACCGGCGUAAGCCAGGUUAGUUUCUAUCCUCGAUAAACAAUCUAUUUAUAGUACGAAAGGACCUAAAUAGAAUAAUAAUUAUAUUUUAUGAAUAAAUAUAACAUAUAUUUAAACCAAAAUUUCAUAAACUAUGAAGUGAGUUGGCAGAAUAGUGCCACCGACUUAGAAUCGGUUCAUGGGUGUUACCCACUCACUAUUUAUAAAUGCAACUUAGUUUAUUUAGAACAGUUAAUUUGCACUUAACAAGAGAGACAUCUCAGUGGCGGCUUGAGGUUUUGGAAACACUGGACCUUGAACGUCCACUUAAGAUGU